GCCUUGGGAGUUAGGGCUAACUUAAGUAAUUUUCUCCAGACCAGGCGCCGCACCAUUCUCCUCCUCCUCCGCGCUCACUGCUUUUUGGUCUGGUCAUCAAUUCUCAGUGUCAAUCCUCUCUUCGGUUGGUCUUCAAGCUCCUCUUCCAAGAUCAGUAUUCAUCACGACAUCACCGGUGUUUAUCAACCUGCAGUGGCAGUGUGGCUCAAUCAAACAAUUACUUAGUCCUUUCCACUCUUCUCUCUCGAACCGUUAUUCUAACUGCCGCCGGCUUUGAGAGGGUCUCUCGCUCUCCUUCUCCUUCUCCAAUCCACGAUAUCAAAGAACAGACCAAGCUAUUAUAGCUCAACUUUCUAUAAGCAGAUUCUAGUGUGAGACUCUGAUUCAAAGUAUACUACCAUUCAUUAUUUUAUGGUGCAAUGACACGAGUAUAAGGUUGUCCACAGCAUGGGAGGGAUUUGACUCUUCGUUGACUAUGCCAAAACAGAUGAAGUUGCGUUUAGUUGGCUAUUUCUCACAUCUUGUUGAUUUGAAAUUUAUUUAUUAUUUAUUAUUAUUAGUAUUAUUUUUUUUUGGCUACUCACCCACCCUGAUGCCCUAUUUAGACUGUAAUUUUAUUAGCAUGUUUCUUGUUUAUAUAUCACAUUAACCCACUGACAAAGUGGUAGGUUAGCGGUGUAAGCUUAUAUGAGGAAUGUAAAUAAUUCAUGCAUCUUAGCAUAGGCAAACCACUAAACCUGAAGAGAGCAUGGUUGUCUUCAGCUAUGUUUUUGGAUUGUUAAGGACUUUUGUAUUUGCUUUUUGAUGAAUUUUCUUUUUUAAA